rnacentral:rRNA from 1 species
AGUGAACGCUGGCGGUAGGCCUAACACAUGCAAGUCGAACGGCAGCACAGGAGAGCUUGCUCUCUGGGUGGCGAGUGGCGGACGGGUGAGGAAUACAUCGGAAUCUACCUUUUCGUGGGGGAUAACGUAGGGAAACUUACGCUAAUACCGCAUAAGACCUUCGGUGAAAGCCGGGGACCUUCGGGCCUGGCGCGGAUAGA